rnacentral:piRNA from 1 species
UGUUAACAAAUCACUGGAGGCAGCCU